AGCUAUCAGCUCUCAGUGCAGUAGGCAGCGCAGGGACAUCAGCGCCCAUUCCCCGUGCACAGACCUCCCGCAGCCCCUGGCAAUGCCUGCGUCCACGGCCGGUCCCUUCGCGCUAAGUCCUGCUGGCUUCGUAGCUAAGCUGUGCGAUAAAGCUGUCCUUCCCUCGCUCCCCUUCUCCGCCUGCGGCGACAGCGGAACCUCUUCUCUCGCAGCAAGUCCAAGCAUUGCUCACCCUGACAACUUGCUGGAAAAAUAUCCCAGUGUCUCCUUUUGGUGACAGGGAGGCUGCUGUGAUCAAUAUCAAACACAGUGACCUCUGGUAUUUCUGAUGGCUCCCUGGGCAGCUAAUCAUCUCCAUAUAUUUAGUUACUGAUGUCACAGUGGUGCGGGAAUAGAAAAAAUUAAGCAGCAAGGUUCUUAACCAAGGGCUCAUGGAAAGUCAGAUUACGCACCGCAAAGAAAAACAUGACAAAAUUAAAAAAGAACAGGACAAAGAAAUCUAUUGGACCAGAAACUUCACACCGGUGAAGCAGAAGCCAUCCAAGGAGUUGAGGCCCAUGCUGGGGGCCGUCACGCUGGGUCUCAUCCUGUUCAUCGCCGCGGUGGUGGCCUGGUGCUACUACACGGUGUCCCUGCGGAAGGCGGAGAGGCUCAAGACGGAGCUGAUGGACCUGCGGGCGGACGGCUUC